rnacentral:rRNA from 1 species
UACGUAGGGGGCAAGCGUUGUCCGGAAUCAUUGGGCGUAAAGCGCGCGUAGGCGGCCCGGUAAGUCCGCUCUGAAAGUCCAGGGCUCAACCCUGGAAAGCGGGUGGAUACUGCCGGGCUAGAAUCCGGAAGAGGCGAGUGGAAUUCCUGGUGUAGCGGUGGAAUGCGCAGAUAUCAGGAGGAACACCAAUUGCGAAGGCAGCUCGCUGGGACGUAACUGACGCUGAGGCGCGAAAGCCAGGGGAGCAAACGGG